CUGGCAGUUCUAUCUUUUGCCUCAUCUUCUUUUCUGUUAUUCAUAUGCUCCCUGGUCCCCGAGGGUUCAGCUGGCUCACUUGGCUUCUAACCCAUAGCUCCCCAGACUGGGAGCUCCCAGGCCUAGAGCCCACAAUUCCUGUGGGUGUCCAUGUUUGAGAGGUUUUGUCACACCCUCAAGGAUGACGGAGGUGCAGGCCUUUUAUCGGUUUCAAAGGUGGCUUCAUUGGAGAAGGAAUCCAAAAGCUGUAGAAAGUAAAGAGAAAAAGAGCCCUCCCCAUCUUAACCCCUUAAGCUUUCCUCACAAAGAACAACAGAGUGAAACCGAACUAUUACAACACAGAUGAGACACCCAAAUGGGACACGACAGAAGGGUUUUCACAUGCCUUUGACUUCCUUUUUUCACCCAGGGUACAGACCAAUCUUGGUAAAGACAGGAAUCCGUUUGACAAACAUGAACACGACACCUAACACCCAAUGCCCAUACUGUUCUGUUCUGUUUUCAACAAGCCCUUCACCUCCCAAC